AGGCAACCACCUUUUGUAAAUUACUCGAAAGGUAGGUGUUAUUCUGCUCGUAAAUCAAUUUCUUUUGCUCUUCAGACUUGUUGAGAUUCAUACUCUAUGAAACCGGUCUAGUAAGCAUUAGUACAUU
rfam:Helianthus annuus linkage group 7, whole genome shotgun sequence.